rnacentral:rRNA from 1 species
CUCGUAGGCGGCCAACUAAGUCAGACGUGAAAUCCCUCGGCUUAACCGGGGAACUGCAUCUGAUACUGGAUGGCUUGAGAUCGGGAGAGGGAUGCGGAAUUCCAGGUGUAGCGGUGAAAUGCGUAGAUAUCUGGAGGAACACCGGUGGCGAAGGCGGCAUCCUGGACCGACACUGACGCUGAGGAGCGAAAGCCAGGGAGCGAAACG